GCACAGGGUGGGAUUGCUGCGGUGUCCUGUGCAGGGCCAGGAGUUGGACUGGAUGAUCCUUGUGGGUCCCUUCCAGUUCAGUUGUGUCAUUCUGUAGUAACUGUGACCCUCUCAGAUUUGGACACAGCGCUUGUUUGCUUUGGCUCUGGAGUGCACCUGACCCACCAGCCCAGGUGUCUGGACCAGCUUAAGAAUUAGAGGUGCUUCUUGUUUUUUAAGCUCUCUUCGUUAUCCGAGUCUCUUGUUUUCCUACUCGUUUACUUCACAUGUGUGAGCCCUUUGUGUUUCCUCCCAGCAGGCAGCUGGGUUCAAGGGAAGGUGUUGGGUUGUCCUAGGCUUUAUAAGAUUAUAAAGGACCCCAGGCAGGAUUGCAUCCAAGAUUGUCAAAUAAAUGUAAAUUAAUGAAACAUCUGAAUUCUGAAGAAAUUGACUAGGAUGUGGGUAGAAAAACUCUGUAGGCUGCGUUAGAAAGCUGAAUCCACAGCUACAAUUCCUGGUAUUCCAUCUCUUGUAGGUACACAGGUGCUUAAAGGGAUACAGGAUUUAUGUGUGGUGCCCUUUGCCAUGGUAUAUUAUAUAGAUCUUUGCUCAGCAAAAUUGCAAAGUGUGCAAAGAAUUAUCUUGGGUAGGUGAGGAAGGCAUUACCUAUAUUAUAUAUUCUGUCUCUUCAAAUUGAUAUCCAGAGUUGUCUGCUUGCUAAGUCUGUUUUUUUUCUCCUAAUCAUUUCCUGAGGCUUGCAGGUGUAUAUCCUCCAGGAUGUGCUCUGAAGAUUUCAGCAAAAGGGAAAGAAGGAGCUUGGCUCAACCACCAGAGAAACCCUGCAGCCCACACCCAGGCAAUCCUGAGUCCUCCCUUCCCUGUGAGACCUGUGUGGAGUCUCCCAGGCAGGAAAACUCCCCUCAGAAGUGGUGCACUGAGAGCUCUCCCCAGACAGCAACAGAAUCAUCCUCGUGCCUGCUUCUGCCUUCUGAUUCAAUUACUCCUUUCAUUCGUUUGUGUGGGUGCCUUUUUUCAGCAGAGUGGAUCAGCUCCUGCAGCUGAGAUUCCCAUUCCACAUCACUGCAUUUACAGUCAGCAGCGAGGAAAGGGAUGCUUCAAAUUCCCGGAAGCCGACUCUGGAUCAUGUCUCUCUUAGUUUGGUGUCAGACCUCUGGGACAUGAUAUAAAUAGCCAGUGCAUCUUCCCACAGCAUUUUUUAAGUUCCUAGCAGCUGGCAGCAAGUUGGAGUUGGUCAUCAUGACUGGAAAACUGCUCCUCUUCUAUCCAGAAAAGGGCAGCUUGAUGUCUGAGAGAGCUGUGAGUGCCUGAACACAUCUGGAGCCCAGCACCGCGUGAGCAGGAGAAGGUCUGUCCCAUGCUAUGCAAACCUGUGCACAUGGCAUGAAAAACCCUGGUAAUGAUGGAAGGGAGCAGAACAGAGAGCUGGGAAGCUGCAGCACAGUAAGUUUACACAAGCAGCAAGUAAAACACCCAUCCCCGGUGAGUCAGUCCCGGCCGUUUCCUUCAUUUCCUCCAAGGCUCACUGGGAACAUCCAGCGGUAGCGGCCCUUCAGUCGUCUCCUUUCCUGGCCCUUGUUUACAGCUUUCCUUCAGCAGGGAGCACAGUCCCAGCCUCCUGCACUGCAUCUUCACAGGCUGAGAGAAGUGCAGACCCUCCCCUGGCCUCAGCUUUGGUACUGCCAGUGCUCUUGCUUUUGUGGGUGCCAGCACCUUCUUGAGCUACAGCAGGUGCUGAGAUUCAGGUAGGCCACUUUCCCUGUGGUUGUUUCUUCAGGAUUUCUGCUCCAGCUAUAAACUCUAGAAAUAAAUUACUGUAAGGGAAAGGUGGAAUAUGGACAGUCACACUACUGCAGAGGAAGAUAAACAAAGCUGAAAUGUGCUUCCCUCUCUGUUCAGUGUCUUUGCACAAGUCCUGGAGGUGGGGAUCUCUGAGCCUGGAUGUGUGAUAGUGUAGUGCCCCCUCAUGGGAAGCUGUUCCUGAUGCUGAUUCCUGGCUGCAUCCAGUUUGUCUUCUGGAAGAGAUGUGUGGAAUAGAGACAGUGAAGUUGUAAGACCAGAGAAGACAGAAGCCCAGAGGGGAAAAAGAUCACUCAGCAUUUGUCUUAAUGCCCUCCUCCAAAAAGUCAGCAGCUUGUAAAUUGGGAAUUUGCAGUGUGUCUGUGAUGACUUCAGUUUUGGGAGAUUUCUGGGUAGCUGCUCAUGGCUGGUGUCCUGGUAAAUUUUGGUCUCUGCAGGACUUGACCUUUAAAUGUACAGGCUUGCCAAACUACAACAGGAAUGCUCCUGCUGGGAGGUGACUGAGCACUGAUGGCAAAGGCGGUGAACACAGAGACUCAGAACCUGAGGAGCUUCAGGAUCUCCUCAGGUUACAUUUCUAGAGAAAAGAAUUCACUUUCUCUCCACAUGCAUUUGGUGUGGUCACAACGAGGUGGAAGAUGCAGGUGAAACCCACAGUCACAUUGGCAGCUGCAUCCCAAAUUAGCCAAAGGAAAGCAAGUACCUGAAGCUUAGGGCAAGAUGUGGCUGCCCUGACACAAACCCUGAGUGCUUUCACAGCAACCCAUGUCCUCAGGACAGCCCUGACAAGUAACAUCAAGGCUGACCAUGCCAGGGAACUUGGAUUCAAGGGUCCAGACCAAAUAGCAUCAUAUUUUUCCAUCUUUUUUCACCUAAGAAUAUGAGGAGUUGUGUUAAUUGAUCUUAAUUCUUCCUUCUCUAAACAUAGGAAAAAUGUCCUGUUUCAGUCCCUUGUUCCCUGCAUUCCCAUUGCUGCUUCCCUUCUCCCAAUAAUUGUUAAAAUACUUUUUUUUUUUUCAGUAAAGCAUCUUGUAGUUCCUGUUUCACCCUAUGUUCACAUAAAGGCUUGAUCAUAUGUCCAAAGAAUUGGGAAGAUGCCUGAAAUCCCUCUCAUGUGUACUAUAUGUAAACUCUGUUUUUCCUGUUUUGCUUGGUAUUUCUGUCUUGAAGGCAUCAGGAGAAAUCCAAAGGUCAUCUGUUAAAGAAAUCAGGCAAGAAAAGAAAGCAGUUGACCAGCAAAGAGGCACCUUCUUAAGCACAACAGCCAGGUGCAGAGCUGUGGGAGGGAACUUCCCAGUCCCUGUACUGGAAAAAUCUGCCAAGGCUGGGAAAAGGGAAAUGGAAGGACAUGCACAGGCCUGUCAAAAGCUCUGCCAUCUGUAAAAGGGGCACAUUCUGCGUGUUUGGAGGUGCUCUGGGGUGGCCAAGCUGCCCUUUUUUGAGGGGAAACACUGACAGGACAGAGAAGUCUCCUCUGUGGCUCUGUGCUUGAAGGUGGGAAAGCACAAACAGCUCAGACACAGCCAGGCAGAGUUCAGCAGCCCUGUGGGGAAGGUCAGCUGGAGGGAGAGACGGAGCAGAAAAUGGUGCAAGGCAACACAUGAGCAGCAGGGCAACUGCAAGAGCUCUGGAAAGCAAAAAGAAUGAAGUCCAGCAGACUGGAAAACUGGAUCCCAUAUAACCCCGGUGGCACUGAGAAAACAACCUCCUCAGAACCAGGUUCUUCUACCAGCAGGAUGGUGUGUCACUGCAGAGAAAAAAAGGCAGACCACUUUCCCUUAUAAGGAAUGGCCAUUGAGAUCUUGGGCCACCUGCACAUGCCAAAUAGCUCUGCUGAGAUGGAAACACAACCACUUUGGCCUGGGUUGGAAGGGAUCUCAAAGAUCAUCUAGAUCCUGCCAUAGGAUCUUCUUCAGGGAAGACAAGUUGCAACACAGCCUCGUUUCUGUUCUCUGUUUAAGCUUUUUGUAAGUGAAGGGCAAAUGCACAGCUCCUCCCCUUGCUGUUGUUUCCAGUUUUAUGAUUUGGCUCAGUUUUUCAGAGAGAUUAACAAGAGAAGGGGAUGAUGAAUUAGAACCAAGGCUGCCUAAAAAAAUAACAACAUACCCACUCUGAGUUGGAAUCCCUGCACAAGCAACUUGACAAAGUGCUUGUUGCACGACUACAUCUUAUUAAAACUGAAUGAGGGUUUGGAAGAUAAAACAUCUCAAGUUACCACAAAAGAUACCCCAUAUACAGCUACUGUCUAAACUGAAAAGGGAAUAUAGCUGGGAAUGCGCUGAAUUUAUCUGGAACUGAGAGUCACAUUACCAUCCACAGUGCCUUAUCCUCCACUGUGGAGGCACAAACUAAGACAAAAGAAGUAACUGAUCAAACUGGAGAACUAUUUCAGUCUAUGCAACCACAAGCCUGGUUUGAUCAUGCAUCAUGUGUUACUACCCUGCUAAAGCCUUGAGCGCUUACAGGACAGAGAAAAUGGCUAGCAGGAGUUGGAAGUGAAAUGGUCACUGGAUUUGUGUUUUUAAAUGUUGGCAUUAGCCUAGUUAAGCAUGAUAACAUGCUUAUUUAUCCUUGGCAUUUUCUACUUUCCUAUUUUCUCUUUAUUUCCUCCUUGAUGAAGAAAAAUAAAGGUGAAUGAUCACUUUGUAUCCCAACAUCUAAGCUCAUUUGUGUUUU